rnacentral:lncRNA from 1 species
UGCUGCUGCUCCUGCUGCUAAGGAGGCGAUCGCUGCUGUGGGGGAGCCUCGACCCUUCGGGAAAUGUCGGCGCUGCCCCACGGCGCCGCCCGGCUCCACCUCCGGCAGCGGGGAGGAGCUGCCCCGCCUCACGGCGGUGCCCCUCACCGCUCCCUGGGCGGGUGGCUGCGGCACGGCGACCCCCGGUGUGGCAGGAUCGUUGUCUUCACGUUUCCCCCUCACAGCCCACGGGGCUCGGCAGCCCCCGUCCCGGCAGGGGCAGGGGUGUCUCCAGAGAGUUAUGCAGAGCAGUCUGGUUAA